GUGCCACAGCCGCGGUAAUACGGAGGGUGCAAGCGUUGUCCGGAAUCACUGGGUGUAAAGGGUGUGCAGGCGGGGCAGUAAGUCGGAUGUGAAACCCCAUGGCUCAACCACGGAAGUGCCUUCGAAACUGUUGCUCUUGAGUCCCGGAGAGGUUGCCGGAAUUCGUGGUGUAGCGGUGAAAUGCGUAGAUAUCACGAGGAACACCAGAGGCGAAAGCGGGCAACUGGACGGGUACUGACGCUCAGGCACGAAAGCGUGGGGAGCAAACAGGAUUAGAUACCCCGGUAGUCC
rnacentral:rRNA from 1 species